CCAGAUCGUUUACCGUGAAAAAAUUAGAGUGUUCAAAGCAGGCAGAUCCAAUUUUCUGCCACCGAAUACAUUAGCAUGGGAUAAUGGAAUAGGACCCUGUCCUCCUAUUUUCAGUUGGUUUUGGCAGCGCGAGGACUAGGGUAAUGAUUAAUAGGGAUAGUUGGGGGCAUUAAUAUUUAAUUGUCAGAGGUGAAAUUCUUGGAUUUAUGAAAGAUUAACUUCUGCGAAAGCAUCUGCCAAGGAUGUUUUCAUUAAUCAAGAACGAAAGUUAGGGGAUCGAAGACGAUCAGAUACCGUCGUAGUCUUAACCAUAAACGAUGCCGACCAGCGAUUAGGAGACGUUGAAUACAAAACACCACCAUCGGUGCGGUCGUCCCGGCG
rnacentral:rRNA from 1 species